GGAGCUAUAGACUCAGAAUUGGUUGGUUUGCAUAUGAAAGAAGUGAUCCCAGCUGAGCCCUUUGCCAUCCUUAAGAAUGGAUUAGCCCUGGGAGGAGCCUCUCUCGUGGCCAGCAGCUUUUCCAAGGCGUUAAAAACAUCAUAAAAUAUAGAAAAUAAAAGACCUGAUUAAUACACCAUGCAUAAAGGAGUUUAUAUCUACAGGAGAAGUAAGUCUGUACAUUAAAAGGUAAAUAAUAAGACAAGGUAAUUGUGAGAAAUGAGAUGAUUCAUUUCCCGAAAUACCAAAUAAAAGCUGUGCUGUCUAGUUAAUAGUUUUACAACCUAUUGGAAGUAUGUGUGAACCCGCCCUUCCACAGUGGAGCCCCAAACCCUUAGAUACUUCACUUCCUGGUUCUUCUUCCCCUCUCCAUUUUGCAGGCUUAUUUUUUGUGGGCUUUGCAAUAAGCCUCUGCCAAAGAACUGAAGUCUCCGCAUCACCUCAAGGAAUGUACAUUUGUUCCAAUCAGACUGCUUUUUGCCUUAAAAGGGCAUAGGCGAUGUCCAGAACUGAAAUGGAAGAAUGCAAUCACAGAUCUGAACACAUGCAACAUGGAAAGAGCGUGUUUCAUCCAAAUCUCUAGGAUGAAGCAUCAUGACCUAGGUAAGAAAACUGGAUCCAACACAAGGAGACCUCAGACCCUAGAGUGGCUCUCCACUAGCUGAGAGAUUUGGGGUAAGUUGAGUCA